CCUACGGGAGGCAGCAGUGGGGAAUAUUGGACAAUGGGCGAAAGCCUGAUCCAGCCAUGCCGCGUGUGUGAAGAAGGCCUUCGGGUUGUAAAGCACUUUCAGUGGGGAAGAAAGCCUUGGGGCUAAUACCCUCGAGGAAGGACAUCACCCACAGAAGAAGCACCGGCUAACUCCGUGCCAGCAGCCGCGGUAAUACGGAGGGUGCGAGCGUUAAUCGGAAUUACUGGGCGUAAAGCGCGCGUAGGCGGUCUGAUAAGCCGGGUGUGAAAGCCCCGGGCUCAACCUGGGAACGGCAUCCGGAACUGUCAGGCUAGAGUGCAGGAGAGGAAGGUAGAAUUCCCGGUGUAGCGGUGACAUGCGUAGAGAUCGGGAGGAAUACCAGUGGCGAAGGCGGCCUUCUGGACUGACACUGACGCUGAGGUGCGAAAGCGUGGGUAGCAAACAGGAUUAGAUACCCCGGUAGUC
rnacentral:rRNA from 1 species